AUGGAUAGCCGGCCUAAGAGGGUGAUCGGCCACAUUGGGACUGAGAUACGGCCCAGACUCCUACGGGAGGCAGCAGUAGGGAAUUUUGCGCAAUGGACGAAAGUCUGACGCAGCAACGUCGCGUGAGGGAUGACGGCCUUCGGGUUGUAAACCUCUGUUGAGUGGGAAGAAAAGCUUUGUGGUUAAUAUCCACAGAGUCUGACGGUACCACUCGAGGAAGCUCCGGCUAACUACGUGCCAGCAGCCGCGGUAAUACGUAGGGGGCUAGCGUUGUUCGGAAUCACUGGGCGUAAAGGGAGUGUAGGCGGACCGGUAAGUUAGGAGUUAAAUGUACGGGCUCAACCCGUGAUCUGCUUUUAAUACUGUCGGUCUUGAGUAUGGAGAGGGAGAUGGAAUUCCAGGUGUAGCGGUGGAAUGCGUAGAUAUCUGGAAGAACACCAGUUGCGAAGGCGGUCUCCUGGACCAAUACUGACGCUGAUGCUCGAAAGCUGGGGGAGCGAACAGGAUUAGAUACCCUGGUAGUCCCAGCCGUAAACGAUGGACACUAGUUGCCGGAGGAGUCAAUCCCUUCGGUGACGAAGCUAACGCAUUAAGUGUCCCGCCUGGGGAGUACGCUCGCAAGGGUGAAACUCAAAGGAAUUGACGGGGGCCCGCACAAGCGGUGGAGCAUGUGCUUUAAUUCGAUGCAACGCGAAGAACCUUACCUGGGUUUGACAUGGGGGUGAAAGUUUCCAGAGAUGGAAGCCUUUCCUUCGGGAACACCCCACACAGGUGCUGCAUGGUUGUCGUCAGCUCGUGUCGUGAGAUGUUGGGUUAAGUCCCGCAACGAGCGCAACCCCUGCCCUUAGUUGCCAUCAGGUAAAGCUGGGAACUCUAAGGGGACAGCUUGGUAUAACCAGGAGGAAGGUGGGGAUGACGUCAAAUCAUCAUGGCUCUUACGCCCAGGGCUAGACACGUGCUACAAUGGCAGGUACAGUGGGAUGCCAGCCUGCGAAGGUGAGCUAAUCCCUUAAAACCUGUCUCAGUCCGGAUUGGAGUCUGCAACUCGACUCCAUGAAGUUGGAAUCGCUAGUAAUCGCGGAUCAGCAUGCCGCGGUGAUACGUUCCCGGGCCUUGUACACACCGCCCGUCAAGCCAUGAAAGGCGGUAGUACCCGAAGUCGCGUACCCAACCGUAAGGAGGGAAGCGCCGAAGGUA
rnacentral:rRNA from 1 species